rnacentral:rRNA from 1 species
CCUACGGGUGGCAGCAGUGAGGAAUAUUGGUCAAUGGCCGAGAGGCUGAACCAGCCAAGUAGCGUGAAGGAUGACUGCCCUACGGGUUGUAAACUUCUUUUAUAAAGGAAUAAAGUGAUGCACGUGUGCGUUUUUGUAUGUACCUUAUGAAUAAGGAUCGGCUAACUCCGUGCCAGCAGCCGCGGUAAUACGGAGGAUCCGAGCGUUAUCCGGAUUUAUUGGGUUUAAAGGGAGCGUAGAUGGGUUGUUAAGUCAGUUGUGAAAGUUUGCGGCUCAACCGUAAAAUUGCAAUUGAUACUGGCAGUCUUGAGUACAGUUGAGGUAGGCGGAAUUCGUGGUGUAGCGGUGAAAUGCUUAGAUAUCACGAAGAACUCCGAUUGCGAAGGCAGCUUACUAAACUGCCACUGACAUUGAUGCUCGAAAGUGUGGGUAUCAAACAGGAUUAGAUACCCUUGUAGUC